rnacentral:rRNA from 1 species
AUUGAACGCUGGCGGCAGGCCUAACACAUGCAAGUCGAGCGGAUGAGAGGAGCUUGCUCCUCGAUUCAGCGGCGGACGGGUGAGUAAUGCCUAGGAAUCUGCCCAGUAGUGGGGGACAACGUUUCGAAAGGAACGCUAAUACCGCAUACGUCCUACGGGAGAAAGUGGGGGAUCUUCGGACCUCACGCUAUUGGAUGAGCCUAGGUCGGAUGAGCUAGUUGGUAGGGUAAAGGCCUACCAAGGCGACGAUCCGUAACUGGUCUGAGAGGAUGAUCAGUCAAACUGGAACGGAGACACGGUCCAGACUCCUACGGGAGGCAGCAGUGGGGAAUAUUGGACAAUGGGCGCGAGCCUGAUCCAGCCAUGCCGCGUGUGGGAAGAAGGCCCUCGGGUCGUAAAGCACUUUAAGUUGGGAGGAAGGGCUUACAGCGAAUACCUGUGAGUUUUGACGUUACCGACAGAAUAAGCACCGGCUAACUUCGUGCCAGCCGCCGCCGUAA